AUGUCACACACCUGCGUAUGUCAUAUGUCUGUGCAUGUCAUACGUCUGCGUGUGUCAUAUGUCUGUGCAUGUCAUACGUCUGUGUGUGUCAUGUGUCUGUCAUAUGUCAUGUCUGUGCAUGUCAUACAUCUGCGUUGUCAUAUGUCUGUGUAUGUCAUACAUCUGUGUCAUGUGUCUGUCAUAUGUCUGUGUCAUGUCUGCGUAUGUCAUACGUCGGCAUAUGUCAUGUGUAUGUGCAUGUCAUACGUCUUGUAUGUCAUACGUCUGUCAUAUGUCCGCGUAUGUCAUAUGUCUGUGUAUGUCAUACGUCUGCAUAUGUCAUAUGUCUGUGUAUGUCAUAUGCCUAUGUCAUGUCUGCGUAUGUCAUACGUCUGUGUAUGUCAUGUGUCUGUGCAUGUCAUACGUCUGUGUCAUGUGUGUCAUAUGUCUGUGUCAUAUGUCUGUGUCUGUCAUACGUCUGUGUAUGUCAUGUGCCUGUGCAUGUCAUACGUCUUUCAUACGUCUGCGUAUGUCAUGUGUCUGCGUAUGUCAUAUGUCUGUGUAUGUCAUACAUCUUUCAUACGUCUGCGUAUGUCAUAUGUCUGCGUAUGUCAUGUGUCUGCGUAUGUCAUAUGCCUAUGUCAUAUAUCUGUGUAUGUCAUAUGUCUGUGUAUGUCACGUGUCUGUGUAUGUCAUACGUCUGUGUAUGUCAUAUGUCUAUGUCAUGUCUGUGUAUGUCAUAUGUCUGCGUAUGUCAUGUGUCUGUCAUAUGUCUGUAUAAGUCUGUAUAUGUCAUGUGUCUGUGUAUGUCAUAUGUCUGCGUAUGUCAUGUGUAUGUCAUGUCUGUGCAUGUCAUACGUCUGUGUAUGUCAUAUGUCUGUAUGUCAUGUGUCUAUGUGUCAUACGUCUGUGUAUGCCAUGUCUGUAUGCCAUGUCUGUGUCAUAUGUCUGCGUGUGUCAUAUGUCUGUGUGUCAUAUGUCAUACGUCUGUAUGUCAUAUGUCUGUAUGUCAUAUGUCUGUAUGUCAUGUCUGUGUCAUAUGUCUGUCAGACGUCUGUAUGUCAUAUGUCUGUGUGUCAUACGUCUGUAUGUCAUACGUCUGUAUGUCACAUGUCUGAGUGUGUCCUACGUCUGUAUGUCACAUGUCUGUAUGUCAUAUGUCUGCGUGUCCUACGUCUGUGUAUGUCACAGCCCCCCAGGACCUCGUCACGUUGCUCUGAAUGA
rnacentral:lncRNA from 1 species